CAUGAGCCGGUGCCUUCUCCUCUGUUUUACUCCUUGCGACUACGUGCAAAAGCUUUUGCUCUUUCUCAAUGGGGUCGAAGCAGGGGAGGGUGGCUGAGAUUAUACGGCCCUGAACUUGAUCUGGAUCAUACCAGCGAAAGGAUCAUG
rnacentral:ncRNA from 18 species